GUCUGGGGCUGGAGACAAGGGGCCUGAGGCGCGGGUACGCACUGAACGUUCCAACCGUCCCCGGCCGGCCGGGUUUCAGGUUUGAAAAGGUGGGAAGGUUAGCUGUCCUGGCGCUUUUCCUCCACGUGUUGUGCGGCUCCGCUGGAGCUCGGGUCCAGCACCUUCUACUCCGAGGGAGAGAGCCACGGGGAGAGCCCUGUUCGGGCCCGCGGCUCGAACUGACCGCCGGCUCUGCCGAGCAGCCUCGACCCCAGGGCACCCCCGGGAGGGAGGGCGCGGCUCAGGUCCCUGCCCGAACCCCUGGGGUGCUGAGAGACUCGCCAGCGCCUCGCGUGGGCUCCCGGCCUCUCCACAGUUGAGGAUCCUGUAAGGAGCGAGCCCUUUUUCCCAUAAUGGCUGUAGUGAGUGGGUGUGCUUUCCCGAUUGACCCGCUGUGAGCAUUGCAGAUGAUCCCUUUAAAAGAAGUCUGAUCACGUUCACACGCUGCUCCGCCCAUUUCACUCAGUAAAGCUGAAGUCCUGCAGUGCUUUGCUCUGCCUCCGGUCACCCCGCCAUACUCCCAGACCCUCCCUCCCUCUCACUCCACUCCAGCUGCCCUGGCCUGGUUCAGAGUCCCUGACGCUUCCCUCCCCGGAAACACUUUCUGGCGGCUCUUGUCCCCGACUCUUCCCACCUGCUCUUUCAGUCUUCGCUCAAAUGUUGCCUCUUCAGUGUGGCCUAGGCCAUCACCACCCGGCCUUCACGGCAUACCUUUUUCUCUGCAACACCUACUCAACACACCGUACUAUAGAACUUACUAGCAUGCUAUAAAUGUAUUACCCUUAUCUGUUGCCUCUAACCAAAAGCGUGUUCCAUGAGAGCCAUGGGUCCCUGCCUACUUCUGUCUUGUUUCUGGGGCAGCCUCUGUACCUGGACACCGUAUACUCUUAACACGGAUUUGUCAAAUCAAAUGAAAUUUAACAAUACAAACUUCACAAGUAUGCAUAGUGUAGGAAAAUUCCCCAAAAUUCAAAAUUUCAGUCUACCUCUAUCUUUUCAAAUGACCACAGUGCUUUAUAAAAAUGACAUGGUCCUUUGAGACUCUUUCAGAGAGUAAUUUGUGCAAAUGCAAUGUGCAAAAAGUCACAGUGGAGGUGUUUCCUCCCCCAUUCAAGAGCUGCUCUCUCUCUAAUCAGACAGCACCCCACACCCCAAGGCAGUCUGUCCAGUGCUACUAAAGGAAAGCAGCUCCCCUUUGUAAUGCUUUGACAGUAAAGCAUUACUGUCAAUGCCGUGAUGUUCACUGUAACAUCAUAUGCUUGAUGUUUUCAUAAUUUUAUCAAUCUUUUCCAGACAUCUUACUGUAGAACACUGUAUGUUUUCCAAUUAUUUUUCAGAAAUGUGGUUUACAGCUUCUAUCAGGAAUAGCUUCAGCUUCAAGUGACAAAAGUCACUUGAAAUGAGUUGCUGAAACAAGAUGGCAGUCUCUCCCCUCAACAGGACUGUUACAAUACCUUAUCUUCAGAGAACCAGGCUCUCUGCAACAUUUCAUGGUCAUCGUUCAGUACCUUAUGUGAAAUUCAGGUUUAGCUGGGCAUCCUAUAUUUUAAUUGGCUAACUCGUGGAACUCUCAACUUGGAUCAAGUGGCAGUGGAGUCCUAGGGAUUCUGAGCAGCCAGUGUGUAAUACUGCAUGGCAGCACACCCUGGGGAGGCCAACUGUACAGAAUAAAAUUAAUGCUUUCUAUCUUUA